rnacentral:rRNA from 1 species
AACGAACGCUGGCGGCGCGUCUUAACCAUGCAGGUCGAGCGGCAGGCAGCAAUGCCGAGAGCGGCGGACUGGUGAGUAACACGUGGAUAACGUACCCCGAUGUCCGGGACAGCCUGUAGAAAUAGAGGGUAAUACCGGAUAGAUCACUGUUUACGUGAGGUAGACAGCGGGAAAGGAGCUUCGGCUCCGCGACGGGAUCGGUCUGCGGCCCAUCAGCUGGACGGCGGGGUAAAGGCCCGCCGUGGCGAGGACGGGUAUCCGGCCUGAGAGGGCGGACGGACACAUUGGGACUGAGAUACGGCCCAGACUCCUACGGGAGGCAGCAGGUAAGAAUAUUCCGCAAUGGGGGGAACCCUGACGGAGCGACGCCGCGUGAACGAAGAAGGCCGGAAGGUUGUAAAGUUCUUUUCUGUCCGAGGAAUAAGUUUCGGAGGAAAUGCCGGGACGGUGACGGUAGGGCAGGAAUAAGCACCGGCUAAUUACGUG